rnacentral:rRNA from 1 species
GACGAACGCUGGCGGCGUGCUUAACACAUGCAAGUCGAGCGGUAAGGCCCUUUCGGGGGUACACGAGCGGCGAACGGGUGAGUAACACGUGGGUGACCUGCCCUCAGCUCUGGGAUAAGCCCGGGAAACUGGGUCUAAUACCGGAUAUGACUUCAUGACGCAUGUUGUGGAGUGGAAAGCCUUGUGCGGCUGAGGAUGGGCCCGCGGCCUAUCAGCUUGUUGGUGGGGNGAUGGCCUACCAAGGCGACGACGGGUAGCCGGCCUGAGAGGGCGACCGGCCACACUGGGACUGAGACACGGCCCAGACUCCUACGGGAGGCAGCAGUGGGGAAUCUUGCGCAAUGGGCGAAAGCCUGACG